rnacentral:lncRNA from 1 species
GUCUGUUCUCAAGUCUUUUCUAGCCUUGAGUUAUAAAAUAAUAGUUCAAUUAAUUGUGUAACUCGGUUUCAGAUGAGUCAAUUAAGUUUAUUGUUGGGCAAAUGCUGAUAUAAACCUUCUGCUGUAGCUGAAAGGCGAGGCUGGGGACCGGAGGCUUGUGGUGCCAUGGUGGACCGGAGGCUGGAGACCAGGGGCCUGCAGCACCGGACCAGAGGACCAGGAAUCCAUGGCUGAAGGAGCUGAUGGAGGAGCUGAUGGAGGAGCCGUGCUGAUGGAGGAGCUGUGCUGAAGGCCCUGCCUGGUGAA